rnacentral:rRNA from 1 species
UGCGGGGGGAGCAAGCGUUGUUCGGAUUUACUGGGCGUAAAGGGCGCGUAGGCGGCACUGCAAGUCAGUUGUGAAAUCUCCGGGCUUAACCCGGAAAGGUCAACUGAUACUGCAGGGCUAGAGUGCAGAAGGGGCAACUGGAAUUCUCGGUGUAGCGGUGAAAUGCGUAGAUAUCGAGAGGAACACCUGCGGCGAAGGCGGGUUGCUGGGCUGACACUGACGCUGAGGCGCGAAAGCCAGGGGAGCGAACGGG